CUCUCUCUCUCUUUCCCUCCGUUUUUCGUUGUCUUUGUCUCCAAAACACUCAAUUUCUCUUUCUUUUCUUUCUUUCUCCCGAAACGCUUCUCUAUCUCUUUCUUUUCUUUCUUUUUCCCGAAAACUUCCUCUGUCUUCAUUCCCUUCUCUCCAUUUUUGACUUAGGUUUCACUAAAACCAACCUCAUAAACUCACCAUUUUCCAUCUAAAUCGCACUUGAGUAGCACGAGAAAAUCUUAGUGAGUUGGUCCGAGUAAAUCGCGCUUGAGAGGGAUCGAGGAAAUCACUGCCAUCCAGGAAAUCACUCUAGAGGGUAACUCAUUGAGAAAGUCAUCCUCUUAGGCGAAUAUUUGGUUCUUUAUUGCAUAAGUCACCCUCUUUCUCUAUUUUUCCCUCUGUAGAAAUUUAAGCUCUAGACUGCAAAUCUUUGGUUCUUCAUUGGGUCUUGGCUUUGAGAAAAUUGGCAAAGCCAGAGCCUGGCAACAAGGAAUUUUGCACGUAACCAAGGAGAGGCCGUCUAUGGUAUCUGCCUAAGGAUGAUUCCCUAGAUGUUCUCCUUUCCAUUUUUUUUUUUUUCCUGCUUUAUUCUUUUUCAUGGGAGUUCCUGAAAUUAAAAAGUCUGGCAAAGACCUGAAAUACCCAGCUCAAGGAACUCCCCUUCCCCCUUAAAAUCAUAACACUGAAAUGAAAAAUAAAAGAUAUCCCCAAAAAACUCAGCUAGCAAGAGGAAAGAUACUGCUGCGAAUUCUACUAUCGAAUUUCCCACGCAUGAUGUAACAAAUCUUACAUUGUGAAAUGCAGAAUCGGAAGCAAAAAAGAAAUAAUGAAAAAUAAGAGUGCAGAAUGUUCACUAUUAAGAUUUCAAAAUUUUUAAAACCACGUUCACCUGUCUUGAAAUGGUUCUUAUACACAUAUAUUCUAUCCUUUCCAUGGUACCAUUCUUUCUGAAACCCACACUGCACUUUCUUGAUAUCCUAUUUUUCAGAAGUAACAAUACCUGUCUCAAAUGGGGUUUAGUGAUUUCUACUUACCUGCAAGGAACGUGAAUAAAAAGCACACAACACAAACUGCUUAGAUCAAGAAGCAAACCGCCAAACUAAAUGAUGCCAUUGAGAGUGGGGUAUGCCUUGGUUUUGAUCAUGGAUACUCAUAUCCAUUGCCAUGACCUCUUUGGAGCACUGGGUGAAGACAUCUGACCUUCCAUGAUUUUUUCAACAGAAGGCCCCAUUUCUUGGACAAUUUUUACAGACUCUGACAGUCGAUUCAGUAGAUUCAUUAGGGCAAUGACUUCAUUCCGUUGUAGAUGCAGCUGAAGGCCAAUGCAAUAUGCUUUAGUGUCAAAAACAAUGUUUGCUCAUGCAGACCAAG